rnacentral:rRNA from 1 species
GACGUAGGGCGCGAGCGCUGUCCGGAUUUAUUGGGCGUAAAGAGCUCGUAGGCGGCUUGUCGCGUCGACUGUGAAAACCCGAGGCUCAACUUCGGGCUUGCAGUCGAUACGGGCAGGCUAGAGUUCGGUAGGGGAGACUGGAAUUCCUGGUGUAGCGGUGAAAUGCGCAGAUAUCAGGAGGAACACCGGUGGCGAAGGCGGGUCUCUGGGCCGAUACUGACGCUGAGGAGCGAAAGCGUGGGGAGCGAACAGG